rnacentral:lncRNA from 1 species
AUUGAGAAAUGGAUGUUAGGAUGAUGUAGGCCCUUAGAGUUGAGUAAGUGGUUGGUUGAAUAGUAUAAUCUAACAGGUAAAAAUAAUUAAAGGAUUAAAUCUAACGUGAAAAAUUUGAUAGCACCAAAUCCUUGGUGCUAUCGAUAGUACCCAGCCGGACUCUAUAUAUAUAUAUAUAUAUAUAUAUAUAUAUAUAUUAUAUAUAUAUAUAUAUAUAUUGAAUUGAGCUAGAAUACUUUUAGAAGCACCAACAUCCAAAAGCUAGGUUUCUAGCUUUUGGAUCUACUCCUUGAUUACUAAUAGUCCUUGGAUCAAACACUAUUUUACUUUGAAUUUUUGAAAUUUAAAUAUAUAACUCUUAAAUUUCAAAAAUUUAAAAUUAAAAUUUGAAUUUAAAAUUUCAAAUUCCAAUAUUCAAAGUUCUAAAUUUUAAAUUUCAAAUUUUAAAUUUAAUAUCAAAUCUAAAUUUAGAAAUAUAAAAUUUUAAAUUUUAAAUUUAAAAAAUUAAAUAUAUCAAUUUAAAAUUUAAAUUUUAAAUUUUAAAAUUUAAAAUUUAAAUUUUAAAAUUAUAAAUUUAAAAUUAUAAAUUUUGAUUUUAAAAUUACAAAUUAUAAAUUUUUAUAAUUUAAAUUUUAAAUUUUAAAUUUAAAUUUUAAAAUUAAAUAGGGAUUGGAAUAGCUAUUCCUAUCCCUAUUCUGGAACAACCGGCCCGUUAAGGGGUGGAGUUAGCAAUCUCACCCUUUUUAGAAAUAACGUUAUAUUUAGAAACCUACCUACCAAAUUACCACUGCUAUCGCAACUGUCUAAUGUAUUGGAGUGUUGGCGAUAGAGUAGGCAAUUUUUUGUAGAGUCGGCUGACAUCGGUGUUUGCUAUAUCCUUCGGUAGAACGUUUUGUUGCUACUUUUAUUCUAGUUUUUCUUUUUAGUUCUUUUUAGUUCUUUUUCCACCCUUUUCGAGGCCUUAGCUAUCUUACUCCAUAUAACUAAAUUUAUUUACCUAAUGAAUGAAGUAGGUAGCGUACUACUUUCUCUAAAAAAAAAAAAAACUAAAAACUUAUUCAUUUUCUAGUACUAUAGUA